UUACAUUCAAUUUAGCUGACUUCCUGUGCAUUCCAGGAUACAUUAUUUCAUUUAGGGCUAACAGUACCUGAAUGAUAUACCAUAAAGAGAAAAUAGAAAGGAAAAAGAAGAGAGAACAGAACCACAAAAGAGAGAGGGAAAAAAAGUACACAAUCCAGCAGUGCCUUGCAUACUUACAUUAAAUUUACAAUACUGAUAUGAUUAUAUCUAUUUAAACAUUACUAAUUCUCAGAGACCAAAUAUUAUUUCCACUUACUCCAUAAAAUAGCCUUUUUUUGCUUGUUUAAUUUGAAAGAAAAAGUAUGGUUUUCUAUCUUAUGUACUUCAAUUACAGAAAAAUGUCUUCUACAGUGGGAGGAUUAGGUUGAAGCCAUUUAAGAGUAAUAGCCUUUUUAGCUGCAACCAGGAAUAUUCUCCAAAGAUUAGUUUCAUACAAACCCAGAAUUCAACAAAUAUAAGACAUGAAACUGAAAUGGGAUAUUAAAGGGGUCAUAUGACAUUGCUAAAAGGAACAUUAUUUUGUAAGGUUGUAAGGCUCCAGCCUCUAGUUGCUGCCCAUGUAAUGACUCUCCCAACCAUUAGUUGGCGCUGCCACUCAUGAGGUGUAAUGACUCUCCCAUCCGCUAGGUGGCCCAGCCAUUGUAGAACUCUCUGGGUCAUCACUAAUUAGGAACUGAUUUCUACCACCUGCUGGUCAUUAUCUUGUUGGUGUUCUGCCUAUUUAAGUGUGCCUCUUCCUUAGACUUGUGUUCAAUCUUGAGCUAACUUAUCGUGUGUAAUCCUUGCCUAGAAAGUCGAGUUUGUUAGACUUCUGGUUUUGUUACUGUUCUUCUUUUGUUUUGUAUUUUCACUGAGGAAGCACGGCUUCUCUUAUGUUGUUCUUUGGGAACUUGGAGCCUACAGUAAAACCCUUUUGUUUGAUCGACAAAGCCUGCUUGUUAUCCUUCUGCUCUUGGGUCCAACGGAUAUCUAUCACUCACCAUAGCCCAGUGGUAAACAGGGAGCUCAGUUGACUAGAAGACCUGGGUUCGAUUCCAGCUUCAGACACCCGUUACAAAGACUUGUUGGAACUGACAGAAGAGAAUGAAGAACUGAAUGAAACUCAAGAGAAAGAUCUUAAUGAAAAACAGCAUGAUUUCAAGACUGAAGACUUCCUCACCCAAAAAAGCUAAAAAAAAAAAAAAAAAAAAAAAAAAAGUAAGUACAAACCUUCAUUCCUACAUUAGAGUUUAUACUGGAGA